AGUGAACGCUGGCGGUAGGCCUAACACAUGCAAGUCGAACGGCAGCACAGUAAGAGCUUGCUCUUACGGGUGGCGAGUGGCGGACGGGUGAGGAAUACAUCGGAAUCUACUUUUUCGUGGGGGAUAACGUAGGGAAACUUACGCUAAUACCGCAUACGACCUACGGGUGAAAGCAGGGGAUCUUCGGACCUUGCGCGAUUGAAUGAGCCGAUGUCGGAUUAGCUAGUUGGCGGGGUAAAGGCCCACCAAGGCGACGAUCCGUAGCUGGUCUGAGAGGAUGAUCAGCCACACUGGAACGUAGACACGGUCCAGACUCCUACGGGAGGCAGCAGUGGGGAAUAUUGGACAAUAGGCGCAAGCCUUAUCCAGCCAUACCGCGUGGGUUGAGAAGGCCUUCGGGUUGUAAAGCCCUUUUGUUGGGAAAGAAAAGCAGCAGGUUAAUACCCCGCUGUUCUGACGGUACCCAAAGAAUAAGCACCGGCUAACUUCGUG
rnacentral:rRNA from 1 species